rnacentral:rRNA from 1 species
CAGCCGCCGCGGGAAUACGGAGGGGGCUAGCGUUGUUCGGAACUACUGGGCGUAAAGCGCACGUAGGCGGCUUGGUAAGUUAGAGGUGAAAGCCCGGAGCUCAACUCCGGAAUUGCCUUUAAGACUGCCGAGCUAGUAGGUGAGAGAGGUAAGUGGAAUUCCGAGUGUAGAGGUGAAAUUCGUAGAUAUUCGGAAGAACACCAGUGGCGAAGGCGGCUUACUGGCUCAUUCUAGACGCUGAGGUGCAAAAGCGUGGGGAGCAAACAGGAUUAGAUACCCGUGUAGUCCCUGUCUCUUAUAC